UGGCUCAGAUGGUAAAGCGUCUGCCUGCAAUGCAGGAGACCCGGGUUCAAUUCCUGG
rnacentral:tRNA from 1 species